UUAGGGGUGUCGGAUUAUUGGGGCGUAAGCGAGUGCAGGCGGUUCAAUAAGUCUGAUGUGAAAGCCUUCGGCUCAACCGGAGAACUGCAUCAGAAACUGUUGAACUUGAGUGCAGAAGAGGAGAGUGGAACUCCAUGUGUAGCGGUGGAAUGCGUAGAUAUAUGGAAGAACACCAGUGGCGAAGGCGGCUCUCUGGUCUGCAACUGACGCUGAGGCUCGAAAGCAUGGGUAGCGAACAGGAUUAGAUACCCUGGUAGUCCAUGCCGUAAACGAUGAGUGCUAAGUGUUGGGAGGUUUCCGCCUCUCAGUGCUGCAGCUAACGCAUUAAGCACUCCGCCUGGGGAGUACGACCGCAAGGUUGAAACUCAAAGGAAUUGACGGGGGCCCGCACAAGCGGUGGAGCAUGUGGUUUAAUUCGAAGCAACGCGAAGAACCUUACCAGGUCUUGACAUCCAGUGCAAACCUAAGAGAUUAGGUGUUCCCUUCGGGGACGCUGAGACAGGUGGUGCAUGGCUGUCGUCAGCUCGUGUCGUGAGAUGUUGGGUUAAGUCCCGCAACGAGCGCAACCCUUGUCAUUAGUUGCCAUCAUUAAGUUGGGCACUCUAAUGAGACUGCCGGUGACAAACCGGAGGAAGGUGGGGAUGACGUCAAGUCAUCAUGCCCCUUAUGACCUGGGCUACACACGUGCUACAAUGGACGGUACAACGAGAAGCGAACCUGCGAAGGCAAGCGGAUCUCUUAAAGCCGUUCUCAGUUCGGACUGUAGGCUGCAACUCGCCUACACGAAGCUGGAAUCGCUAGUAAUCGCGGAUCAGCACGCCGCGGUGAAUACGUUCCCGGGCCUUGUACACACCGCCCGUCACACCAUGAGAGUCUGUAACACCCAAAGCCGGUGGGAUACCUUUAUAGGAGUCACCGUCUAAGUAGGACGAUGAUUAGGUGAAUCUACACAGGGUACCGUAACAUC
rnacentral:rRNA from 1 species